AUGAUCUCAUGGCUCUGCCCAUGUAAGCCAGCGCCAGCACUUUGUUUCUCCCAGUGCGGUCGUGACCAGCUUAGAGCGAUGGUUGUCGACAGCUUUCUCCUCAUCCCCAGCCUCCUGAUCCUGGUGGCUGGGGUGUCUCUGCUCACCAUUUCCUGGCACCGACAGGGUUCUGACCGGCGCCAGCAAUGGUGGACAUGGUGGCUGCAAGUGGUGGCAUCAAAGUCAGGUGCUGAGAGACAGGCAGGCAGGCACAGGAGCCCCCGGUGCAGGCCACGUUGCUCCCAGCAGCAAGCAUCAGGAUGGAAGGGCAAUCCCAUCCUGCCUCAUCUCAUCCAGCCAGGAAAGACCCGGCCUUUGUUGCUGCGCAGUGCAUGCCCCUCUCUUCACAUGGACUCUGCCACUGGUACAAUGAGCUCUGUGGGGAAACCCGGCAGGCUCCCCAGACAGGACUAGCGCCCGCAGGUUCUGGUGGCAUGUGGGAUCCCCAGGAUGCUCAGUCAGCGUCCUAGGCUAGGCGGUGGAGUUGAAGACCUGCCACCUGAGAUCUCCAACUUCACAAAGCCACCAGUGAAAGGGAUGGUCUUCCAGGAGGGCCUCGUUCAAACAGAGGAGAGAAAAUGCUGGUGGGACUACAAGACCAAGAGGCUUUUUUGGCGUACGCGCUCCCCAGCACUUCCCAAAGUGCACAGGAAAGCAGGAGCAGCUGCAAGACCAUCCCGAGGACCAGCUUUGAGCCUGGGUAGAAAAGCAGACGGCAAAGCUGAAGCCCGCCAGCCCUUCAACUCUGGCUUCAGUGAGGAGCACAGAGAAAUCGGAAAUGCUCACUAUGUGAAGUCUGUACUGGCAGCUCCUGGUGUCCCUAAAAUGGCCCAAGACUAAGAACGAUUGCUACAAGUCCGGUGGCGGAACUGAAGAGCAACCGCCUGUAACCUCUUCCUGCACGCUGCCACCAUGAAAGGGACAAUCAUGCACAAGAACAUCCUUCAAACAGAGGAGGAGAAAUGCUGGUGGAAGAGCAAGGCCAAGAGGCCUUCUGAGUAUUGUAUUGCCUCCCCAGCACUUCCCAGAGUUUAGAUGGAAGCCUGAGCAGCUGCAGGACCAACAGCAGGGCCAGCUUCAGGCCUGGAGAAAAGGAGACCACAGAACUGAAACCUGCCAGUGCCUAAACUCUGCCUUCAUUAUGGUUUUAUUAUUGUUGACAUAUUAAUAGAGAACUAAGAUCAUUAUUUGCAUCAUACCAUUUCAGAUUGAGAUCUUUCAGAUUUAGAUAAUUUAAUAAAAGUCACACUAGCCUUCA
rnacentral:lncRNA from 1 species